CCGUCCUGGUCCCGCCAUUACUCCCGACUAGUCCUCCUUGACUCUAACCCAGGUAUGUCCCGAAUGUCGAGACUUUUACUUCUUUCCCUCCGCUCGAAUCUGUCUAAUCCGAUCCCCUGUUUUCCUUCACGCUUUAACGUCUGCCGGGUGACUCUCCCGGAUGCUCCCAUCCGCCAUUUUGCCUCCGGAAGAGGAGGAAGAGGCGGACCGAGGCCUCCGGGAGAAAAGAGUGCGCGCGGCUUUGUCUGUCUUCUGUCCACUGGCUUGCCACUCCAUUGUUUCCGCCACUCCUUCCUCACCUCCACCGCUUCCUCCCCGCUUUCUCUCCACCCGGCACAGCAGAAAGAAGACCGGCCAACCGUCCAUCAAUAAACUGUGACGUCGUCUGUCUCUGGUGUCAUUUCUUUCCGUCCGCGGAGGAGGACCGUCCGGUCGCGCGGGACGGCCGAUCGACCCGGUCCAUUUCCGGGGGCAGAGUCCACCUUCCGGCCGCCGUGGCGGUGGGGAAGAAGCGGUCGGUACUCCAAGCCCGGACAACUUCGCCUUCCCACCGUCCUCCGUGGCCGGCCCGCUUCGGCGCCGGCCGGAGCGACCGGUUACGGAAGAUUGCCCGCGGGUCGCCGCUAAGAGUCCGGAAUGCUAUAAAGAAGACAAACCCGACCGACUUGGCAAAGAACCCUACCCCCGUCCGCCAAAUUUCCGGGCGGAAAACCAUCCCAAAAGUCGUCUCCCGGACCGGUUGUCGGAGCGCUGCUUUUCGUUAACCGUACGGACGGUUACUUUUCCUCGCUCGAUCGAUGUAAGCUACAGACCAAGAAAAUCGAUGGGCUAACGGGUCCAUGGCCGACGAGGAAGGCGCUGCGCUGAAAGGCCAGAAGGGACGGCUACGGGCGGGUGUAAUCGCGGAUCUGACGCGACCGAACGGAACUAGUUAACGUCGGCGGGUACGCCCUCUAUCGGCAUUUAUUGCGGCGCGCUACACCAAAGGUCGGGGGAAAUGUUACCGCCGCCGUUGGCGAAAUACGGGAAAACGGCCUUUAUAAAGGGAAGCCAAAUUCGAUAAGAGCCACAGCUUUUCCCUCGAUUAAACUACCGCGGUUUAGAAACGGUUUGAUGGUUGGCAGCGGGAGCGGGCCGGAAAAAGUGCGGUACCGACCGUGCCUUUUUAAGUAACCGGCGGGUGGCAGUGGCCUCUACUCGGGGUAGGAAAGAAAGCGGGUAAGGGCUUUCCGUCUUUGGCCACCGGUGUGAAAUGGACCACCUAAAUUAGACCGCGUGCGGGGUGUAGAAGCGAAACUGGCCUUCUCCAUUUUUUCCGGGCGCCGCCGCCUGGAAUUUUAUUUAUUUGCAUCCCUAACCCGAGACAAAAUUGCCGUCAAAAUUUGGCCUGGGACGGAGGCCAAUAAGGCCUUACGGUCGGUCUUUUUAAGUGCACCGUACCGACGUGGUAAAGUGUCGUGGGUCGGAACGGGGACAAAAAUAAACUAGGUGGUAGUAGUAAAUAAUGACCGUUAUAUGGAAACCCGAGGAAAAAUAAUAGGCCCGCUGGUGUCCGGCAAUUCUGGCCUAAACACCGAAAUGAAAAGAUAAAAUUCUUCUAAAUUCCGGAAGGGAAGUAUUUAUUCUUCCCCAACACCGCCGCAUUUCCGUUGGCUGGCUAUCGACCGUAUUUGGGUAGAAAAGUCCCUUCGGACGCCAUAUUUCGGUAGCUAACGAAAAAUAAGGCGAUAAGGUAAAUCUCGGGACGGGAACGAAAUUAAAUAGGGCCAAACCGACGGCCGGCCUGGGUUUAUGGGGCCCUACCAAUGGGAUGACUUUGGCUAUCAAGCCGGAAGUAGGAUCCCUACCACUCUGUACUUCCCAAUUGAAAUAUUCGUUUAUACUUUCGGUAAAAACGAAUAUUUAGCUGGGAAGUACAGAGUGAUAGUCCUACUUUCUGUUCGUACUUUUACCUGGAAAUGACUACAGGUACGCCGUUAGACGGCUCUCUUAAUUCCGACAACGAAAUGGGAUGGGACCGGCUGGGCCGCUAUACCCUUCGGUGUCAUUGAGUGGAGAUGGAAAAAUAUCCGACCGCCAAAGAACAAUUCGAACUCGGUGAAAAACCAGAGUCGCGCUUAAAAUAUAAGCUUUUUUUUUUUUAUAUAUUGAUAUCAAUGUACCCAUACUACCGCCUGGAUGUGGUGCUACCGUGAACGAUAAAAGCGCGCGCAAUCUAGUUCGACUCGGGCCGACCUACUCUCAAAAUAUAUUCGAUGGUUAGCGCUAGGCCACUCCAAAAUUCUGAGGUUAUUACCGCGUAAUUACGCUUUUUAGAAAGGCCGGCAGUCGUUUAUUUAAAAAUGUUUUAUGGGCCGUGGUUACGACAACGUUAGUGACGCGAAUGGACCGAUUUCCGACCUAAGUGCCGCCUAAUUACGCCUUUUAUCGGGAGGUUUUAAAAGAUUGGCUACUCAAGGCCUUAGUUUAAUAAGGGCUGGGGCCGUCUCUGUUUCCAGCCAUAGACCACGGUAUUGUGUUAGAAUUAUUAAAUCUACUCCACACCUUAUAUAAAAUGUUUAGAAUUAUCGUCUUGAUUUUGCCCUCCGAUUAUACGGAUAUAACUUAUAACAUACCUAGAUUAUAUAAGCUAAUGCAAUCCGUAUGUAGGGUGUAUACGCCAGAUUUAAUAUUACGUAGGUAUAGAUAGAGUAUAAUUUUAACUAGAAAUUACCCGCUCAUAUAAAUAAGCGGAAAUAUAAUCUUAUAAUACUGUAUAUAAUGAAAAAAACAUCUGC
rnacentral:lncRNA from 1 species